AGAGUUUGAUCCUGGCUCAGAAUCAACGCUGGCGGCGCGCUUAACACAUGCAAGUCGAGCGAGAAAGGGGAGCAAUCCCUGAGUACAGCGGCGUACGGGUGAGUAACACGUGGGUAAUCUGCCUUUUAGUGGGGAAUGACCCUGGGAAACCGGGGCUAAUACCGCAUAAGCCUGAGAAGGGAAAGCGAGCAAUCGCGCUGAAAGAGGAGCCCGCGGCCGAUUAGCUAGUUGGUGAGGUAAAGGCUCACCAAGGCGGUGAUCGGUAGCCGGCCUGAGAGGGCACACGGCCACACUGGCACUGAAACACGGGCCAGACUCCUACGGGAGGCAGCAGUGGGGAAUCUUGCACAAUGGAGGCAACUCUGAUGCAGCGACGCCGCGUGAGCGAUGAAGCCCUUCGGGGUGUAAAGCUCUUUCGGCAGGGACGAUCAUGACGGUACCUGAAGAAGAAGCUGCGGCUAACUACGUGCCAGCAGCCGCGGUAAUACGUAGGCAGCGAGCGUUGUUCGGAAUUACUGGGCGUAAAGAGUGUGUAGGCGGUGCUCUAAGUUCGGUGUGAAAUCUCCUAGCUUAACUGGGAGGGUGCGCCGGAAACUGGAGUGCUCGAGCGUGGGAGAGGAAAGCGGAAUUCCUGGUAUAGCGGUGAAAUGCGUAGAUAUCACGAGGAACACCUGUGGUGUAGACGGCUUUCUGGACCAUAGCUGACGCUGAGACACGAAAGCGUGGGUAGCAAACAGGAUUAGAUACCCUGGUAGUCC
rnacentral:rRNA from 1 species